rfam:TNVERIFIED: Cronobacter phage S13, complete genome.
GGUGAAUUAGCUCAACUGGCAGAGCACGUCCUUCAUACGGAUGAGGUUAUGAGUUCGAAUCUCAUAUUCACCU